rnacentral:rRNA from 1 species
UACGUAGGCAGCAAGCGUUGUUCGGAGUUACUGGGCGUAAAGGGUGCGUAGGCGGCCCUGUAAGUAUGGUGUGAAAUCUCCCGGCUUAACUGGGAGGGUGCGCUAUAGACUGCGGGGCUCGAGUGUGGGAGAGGAAAGUGGAAUUCCUGGUGUAGCGGUGAAAUGCGUAGAUAUCAGGAGGAACACCUGUGGUGUAGACAGCUUACUGGACCAUUUCUGACGCUGAGACACGAAAGCGUGGGUAGCAAACAGG